rnacentral:rRNA from 1 species
UACGUAGGUCCCGAGCGUUGUCCGGAUUUAUUGGGCGUAAAGCGAGCGCAGGUGGUUUAUUAAGUCUGGUGUAAAAGGCAGUGGCUCAACCAUUGUAUGCAUUGGAAACUGGUAGACUUGAGUGCAGGAGAGGAGAGUGGAAUUCCAUGUGUAGCGGUGAAAUGCGUAGAUAUAUGGAGGAACACCAGUGGCGAAGGCGACGAUCUGGCCUGCAACUGACGCUCAGUCCCGAAAGCGUGGGGAGCAAAUAGG